rnacentral:rRNA from 1 species
UACGUAGGUGGCGAGCGUUGUCCGGAUUUAUUGGGCUUAAAGGGUGCGUAGGCGGAUAGGUAAGUCCGUGGUGAAAUCCUGCAGCUUAACUGCAGAACUGCCGUGGAUACUAUCAAUCUUGAAUAUCGUGGAGGUAAGCGGAAUAUGUCAUGUAGCGGUGAAAUGCUUAGAUAUGACAUAGAACACCAAUUGCGUAGGCAGCUUACUACACGAUCAUUGACGCUGAGGCACGAAAGCGUGGGGAGCAAACAGG